UCUCAGCUGGUGCAGAUAUUUUCCCGUAUAAAAGUCAGCUGCAGUUAAUUUCUGUGUAUUGUUCGUAAUACUGCACAUUACAAGUUUGGAAUAUUUUCCAAAUUCCAGGUCAAUUUUUGCGCAAAAAAAUGACCCGUAAUCUCGUUGCAAUCGGUUUUCUCUGUGGACUCCUUUUACUAACAGGAACUGCCUCUGCCGAAUACGAUAUCAGCCAUUUUAUCGCAAAACGCUCAGUGCCACCGUGUAAUCCGAAUGAAGGUAUUAUUGGCGUGUGUAAACGCGCGGCGAAGGGAUGCCAAAGCAGCAAAGACUGCCCGAGCGGGAAAAAAUGCUGCUCAACCAGUUGUGGACACACAUGCCAUUAGGGAUUAGCGUUCAUUUCGAUUUCAUCAUUUCCGACGCUUUCCGUAUAAAGUCGCGCCGGGAAUGAUUUCUUUGGUUGCGGUAAUCUCAAGCGUCACUUCACCGUUAUCGAUAUCAGCCAUAACUGUUUUCCUUAACCUGGAUUGUGGUAUUUUCAUGGCACAGGCCGCGCAGCAUGGAUUCGACUAGUGAUUUCCCUAACAUUUUCCAUCUCAGAAGAGAUUAUAAAAAUAUUUUAUUUGCAAACUGUUAUAAUAUCUGUAUUUCACUACUUAAAUAU